GCCAGCAUUCACUUGGGCACUCUAAGGGGACUGCCGGUGAUAAGCCGAGAGGAAGGUGGGGAUGACGUCAAGUCCUCAUGGCCCUUACGGGCUGGGCUACACACGUGCUACAAUGGUGGUGACAGUGGGCAGCGAGACCGCGAGGUCGAGCUAAUCUCCAAAAGCCAUCUCAGUUCGGAUUGCACUCUGCAACUCGAGUGCAUGAAGUUGGAAUCGCUAGUAAUCGCGGAUCAGCAUGCCGCGGUGAAUACGUUCCCGGGCCUUGUACACACCGCCCGUCACACCAUGGGAGUUGGUUUUACCCGAAGGCGCUGUGCUAACCGCAAGGAGGCAGGCGACCACGGUAGGGUCAGCGACUGGGGUGAAGUCGUAACAAGGUAGCCGUAGGGGAACUGCGGCUGGAUCA
rnacentral:rRNA from 1 species